rnacentral:lncRNA from 1 species
AACCUCUUACAUAUUUCACCAUCAGUUUCAAACCACUCAAUGUAUACAAUAUCAUAAAACUCCAAUGAAUAUAAGUUAAAAUUGAAACUCAACAUUCACAACAUUUUAGAACAAGAUAAAAUUCAUGAGAUAAGAAUGAAAAUAAUAUAACAUAGCAAAUACAAUCAUGCAAUUUCAAUUUAGGUCACCAUACCUUCGCCUUAGCUUUCCUUUCCUGCUCAAGUCUUCUUUGUACACNAUCUUCCUCCCCUUCUCGCCACAAUUAUAACUCCUUUAAAAGCUCACCCUAACACAUUAAAUAAAAGUGUAUUUAG